GAUGAAGAACGUAGCAAAAUGCGAUAAGUAAUGUGAAUUGCAGAAUUCAGUGAAUCAUCGAAUCUUUGAACGCACAUUGCGCCCGCUGGUAUUCCGGCGGGCAUGCCUGUUCGAGCGUCAUUUCAACCCUCAAGCCCCCGGGUUUGGUGUUGGGGAUCGGCUCUGCCCUCUGGGCGGUGCCGCCCCCGAAAUACAUUGGCGGUCUCGCCGCAGCCUCCAUUGCGUAGUAGCUAACACCUCGCAACUGGAACGCGGCGCGGCCAUGCCGUAAAACCCCAACUUCUGAAUGUUGACCUCGGAUCAGGUAGGAAUACCCGCUGAACUUAAGCAUAUCAAUAAGCGGAGGA
rnacentral:misc_RNA from 1 species